rnacentral:tRNA from 1 species
GCAUCCAUAGCUCAAUUGGAUAGAGCGGCUGACUACGGAUCAGCAGGUUUGGGGUUCGAAUCCCUAUGGAUGCACCA